ACGCGGCCGCUGCGCUGCGGGAAGAGGUGGAGGUGGCGCACGGCGUGCCCCCUCCUUUUCGGGAGGGAUGGUUCGCCCCGCAGGAGGCACGCCGGGAGCGGCACGGCGUCCGCGGCUGCUGAGGGAGCAGCGGUGUGAGGCUGUAGUUAUUGGCGCUGCUUGUCUUCGAAAUCGGGCACUUACCUCUAGUACGUCCUUUUAGUCUCCUUGUACUGUUCGUGUGUCUCUGUCGCUCUUCAAAGUAUGUCUUCUCCCUUUUUUUUUUCCCAGAUGAAAGCAAUGGAAGUUAGUCAGUGGCCGGAGCGUGCACCACCAUGACCAAAAGGUGUCCCAGGAUCAUGGUUCCUGGUGUGUUUUGCUGGAAGUUUGGGAUCUCUCUGUGUGGUGAAGGCCUCUGAGCUUGAGAAAGGCACGUGGGAAGAAGCUGCCAAGUGCUGAUUGCAGAGCUGUGAUUAGCAAUAAUUCCUUGUGCAACUCUGUCCUGUAGCUUGCUGUUAAAAUAAAGCAGGCUUUCUGCUGAGAAGGAGGCACAAUGACUUUAGAGCAGAAAUCAGAACUUAAACAGUGAGAGUGAGAUCUGCCUGAUGGCUAUAUUCUUAUCAAAAAGAGCAAAGUGGAAGCUACAGAAUAAAAAUUUUGGUGUGGGUGGCUUUGUUAAAUCAGUAUGUGGCUGCCAGUGUGUUCAAGACAAGGACUUGCUUUCUCAUGUUUGCUUUUAGGAGUGUGAUAUUGUGGAGCAUUUCAGAACAUAAAGGUUGAAAAUGUUAAAAAGACUGGCAGAAUAUGAAAGAAAGCUUUGAAUAUGCCAGAUACUGCUUCACUGUAAAGUCUUGGAAAAGCCAACACUACUGAAAAGCUGAGUAGCGCAAGUCAGCCCAAAUUUCAUUAGUACAGACAAGGUAUUAGUAAAAAUCACAUGCACUAUCAAGUCUUUUUUUUGUGUAACCUACAUACCCAAGGGUGUGACAUGUAAUCCAAGUCUCUGAAGCCAGGAACUUAUAGGUCAAUACUGGAAAUGUGGUGUAAGAAUGAUUCUGUACUACAUCACUGUAGAUUUUGUUUGGGUUGGGUUUUUUUCAGGAGAAAAUACAACUAAUCUUCAGUGAAGUGAUGAAACUCCUCCAGGGUGGCCAUAAUGCUCUUGAAAGUAAUAACAUCUGAAAGUUUCAUCAACGAAAUGUGAGAAUCUGCUUGAGCAACACAGAUGCAAUGAAUCCUUUACGCCUGCUGCUGGUAGGAAGGGAGCCUGUGAAAUCCAUCCACACAUGCUGCACCCCAGGCACUGUGGGUAAGGAAGAAUUGCUAGAACCAGCCUGAGAGCAAUGCCCAUCUAUUGAAACACUCCUGCCUAAGAAACAAACAAACUGUUUAAAAGAUGGACUACUAAGCCUCCAUGUAGUAAUACAAAGUGCAUUUAACUGCAUUGUGUCAGUGUCUGGAAAUGUUUAUAUAGACAAAAAAAUAAAGAUUUAUGUUUCUCUUCUCAGAA